AGGCUGAUGUUCUAACGGCAAGAUGCGGGACUCCAAAUCCCUGCGAUGUGGGUUCGAAUCCUACUCGGCCUGCCA
rnacentral:tRNA from 1 species